rnacentral:rRNA from 1 species
GACGAACGCUGGCGGCGUGCUUAACACAUGCAAGUCGAACGAAGAGCGAUGGAAGCUUGCUUCUAUCAAUCUUAGUGGCGAACGGGUGAGUAACGCGUAAUCAACCUGCCCUUCAGAGGGGGACAACAGUUGGAAACGACUGCUAAUACCGCAUACGAUCUAAUCUCGGCAUCGAGGAUAGAUGAAAGGUGGCCUCUACAUGUAAGCUAUCACUGAAGGAGGGGUUUGCGUCUGAUUAGCUAGUUGGAGGGGUAACGGCCCACCAAGGCGAUGAUCAGUAGCCGGUCUGAGAGGAUGAACGGCCACAUUGGGACUGAGACACGGCCCAGACUCCUACGGGAGGCAGCAGUGGGGAAUCUUCCGCAAUGGACGAAAGUCUGACGGAGCAACGCCGCGUGAGUGAUGACGGCCUUCGGGUUGUAAAGCUCUGUUAAUCGGGACGAAAGGCCUUCUUGCGAAUAGGGAGAAGGAUUGACGGUACCGGAAUAGAAAGCCACGGCUAACUACGUG